rnacentral:snoRNA from 1 species
UGGCGAUGAUGAUCCGGCUCUUUUACUUUCCUUUUCCCGAAGCUGAGGGCCCUUCUGGGGUCCGGCGCGGAGACACAGCCCGAUCUGAGGCCA